AUGAUUCUCCGUCGCAUCGAUACCGUUUACUUUGCCGUCGAAGUCUUUUCUACCUCCGCUUUUCUCAGCGGGUGUUGCAACGAAAGCGUCGUGAAACCGGAGAGAAACCCAGAGAAUCUUGCGUGCUCAGAGAUAUUGAUCGAAAGAAAAACAAUGAUAAUCAUAAAUACUGAGAGAGUUCUCGGAUCAUUGGGCAGCAAUAGUAGGUUGAUCAUCUGA